GACGAACCGUGCGAACGUUGUUCGGAAUCACUGGGCUUAAAGGGCGCGUAGGCGGAUCAUCAAGUCCGGGGUGAAAUCUUUCGGCUUAACCGGAAAAGUGCCUUGGAUACUGGUGGUCUCGGAGUGAGGUAGGGGCAUGUGGAACUUCUGGUGGAGCGGUGAAAUGCGUUGAGAUCGGAAGGACGCCCGUGGCGAAAGCGAAGGUCCUGGGAUGCCUACUGACGCUGAGACGCGAAAGCCAGGGGAGCCGGAACGGG
rnacentral:rRNA from 1 species